AGCCAGGGGGAGGGGAUAAGAGAGGUCUGGGGGAGCCAGGCUCAGGCUUGGGGUCUCAGAAGGCAGCGCUCUCAGGGCACCUCCACCAUGGCCUGGGCUCUGCUCCUCCUCAGCCUCCUCUCUCAGGGCACAGGGUCCUGGGCCCAGGCUCCCCUCACUCAGCCGCCCUCAGUGUCUGGGACUCCAGGGACGUCAGUCACCAUCUCCUGUGCUGGGAGCAGCAAUGACAUUGGGAGAACUAGUGAUGUCUCCUGGUACCAACAGCGCCCGGGAACGGCCCCUAAACUCCUGAUUUAUUAUGUCAGCAAUCGGCCCUCGGGGAUCCCUGAGCGCUUCUCUGGCUCCAAGUCUGGCAACACGGCCACCCUGACCAUCGCUGGGCUGCAGGCCGAGGACGAAGCCGAUUAUUACUGUUGCUCAUAUACAACCAGUGGCACUCACCACAGUGGUGCAAGUUCAUGGGGAAGUGAGACCAAAACCUUCACUGAACUCCCUCAAGAACUCCCUCCCAACGGUGGCCAUGGCCCACAGAAGGAACCACGCACUGCACAGGCUCCUGUGUUUGAUUUUUCUCCUUCAUCCAGUGUUUUCAGGGUUCACUCCUGUUGA